rnacentral:rRNA from 1 species
UACGUAGGGUCCGAGCGUUGUCCGGAAUUACUGGGCGUAAAGAGCUCGUAGGUGGUUUGUCGCGUUGUUCGUGAAAACUCACAGCUUAACUGUGGGCGUGCGGGCGAUACGGGCAGACUUGAGUACUGCAGGGGAGACUGGAAUUCCUGGUGUAGCGGUGGAAGUGCGCAGAUAUCAGGAGGAACACCGGUGGCGAAGGCGGGUCUCUGGGCAGUAACUGACGCUGAGGAGCGAAAGCGUGGGGAGCGAACAGG